CUGCUUCAGGGCUCGAGA
rnacentral:snRNA from 1 species